ACAGACAGAGUUAUACAAAUUUGACCAGAAUUAAAUAGUAUCUUUAUGCAAAUACAUUUCACAGGAACCGUACAAAAAAGUGGAAAAGUUUAAGACAAAUGAUGAAAUUAUUCUCUGUUUCCGUAAUGUGUAAAGCUUUUGAAACAAUGUUUAUUGUGUGAGAAUCGGCUCACAGAGAAAAUUACCAAACUGACAUGGUUGACAUAUAUUCAAGUACGAAAAGAGUGCCAGGCGAUGAUUGUACAAUGAUUUACAUAGAACAAUAUUGUGAAUAAUAAUUAAAUUAAUAUUGAGAAGAUGACACAUUAUGUAUAUAAUUCCACGGACGUCCAAAUUGCGGUUUUUAGUAAGUAUUAGAGAAUUGUAUCGAUUAGAUCAUAGUGAUUGCGGUAAUCAGUGAUUGUGCUGUCCGUGAUGAGGGAUAGUAUUAAUAGUGGGUUACUGAAGACACAUAGAUCUCACGAAAUCAUUUAUUCCAGUAAGAUUACUUUCGUGUAUUUCAUGGUGAAGGAAAAGUUGAAGAGACACUUGCACACUUGCAUAAGAGAAAAAUCAAAAUAACAACAGCACCAUCAGCAGCAGCAAGAGUAACAACCACUACAAUAACCACAACACGAACAACAAGUGGACGGAAAUAGUAGUAUGUGUGUAAGAAACAGAUGACAUCCGCGCUUUAAAAAUAAGUCUAUUAGAAAAAGUAUUUUGAAUCCGUAAUUAAGCAGAUGUUAUCAUUAAAUUUAGUAUAAGAUGAAAGUAUAAAAAGAUGGUACUUUUUGUUGAUGGAACAGAUUUAAUUGAAGAAUGCAAGACACACACAAUAAGCUUAAACAAAAACAAAAUAAAAAUGAUGAAAUCGAAUGGCCGUCAAUUCUGUUUCUACCUUCUCUCA